AUUGAUCUGUUCAUAAGAAUUCAGCCUAAUAUCCGAAGAAUAAAUUGGCAAAAGUUAAUUUUUGGUGUUAAAAAAAAGUCAAAACAAUAAUUAGUCACUAGCACAAUAGAAAUUUGAUAUCUUGACAUAACACCAACUAUUUUAGAUUUUAUAUGUGUGAGCAAAAACAUAGUUGAUUCAUGUAAAAAGUUAUAGCUUUUAAUAUUGCAUUGAAUAUGUCUCCAUGAUGGAUAAAAAAGCAAUUAGAAUUAACUGAGAAAACAUGCCAUGGGGAACUUGACUUUGGAAAAGGACCACAUAAGAAAUUGGCAAGAAUGAAUGGGAAGUAUUAUUAUUUUUAUUUCCUUUUUCAUGCUACCUAUCUUUUUUCUAAUGCAGUUAGCAACAAUCUCACCUGUCUUCUUUUUUAGAAUAUUUCUCUUUGGAAAGAUAUAAAUUUGUGUUGGGAUACAAUUUUGCUUUUGGCUUCUUCCAAACAUUUUUGUCAUAUAAGUUAUUUUUGUACUAUGAAAUUGUGAGUGCUGUGAAAGUAAGUGGAGUAUGAACCUUAUUUCGUUUCUUAAUUCUUCAAUUAUAAUAAUAAUACGUUUUACUUAAGAUUUGGUCGGUUAAAUUUUUUAUUUUUUAAAAAAUUUGUUUUUAAAAUAUAACUUUUAAAUAUUUAAAAUAAAUUUAAUUUUAUUCUUCUAAUUAAUACCUCUUUUGUUCAUAUGUAACUUUUGUUCAUUAGAUAUCUCUUUUGGUCAUGGAUAAUGAUUCAUAUGUAACUUUUGUUCAUGGGAUACAAGAGAAUAGUCCAUUGUUUAAAUAUACGACAUUUUCACUUUUAGAUAAUUUAUACCUCAGUUAAUAAACUCUUUUUGCCUUGUAACUUACAAUUCAAUUUAGGUUGAUGCCUAUUUAUAGCUACUAUCAUAGAUGCCAAGUUAAAAAUGGAAGCAUUAGCAAUUUUGUAUCCUAUGAUCAUACACAUUUUCUUAGAUUUGUAUUUUCUGUAGAUAUCCAUCAUAUUGUGGAUCAAAUAUAUGGCCCAGCAGUGCACUACCAGAACUCGAAGUGGGUAUGGCCUGAAUCCCGAACAGAUUUUGCAUUUAUAGUCUUUGUUUUCUGAUGCCUAGGUUUAUAGGUUGAUGUGUUCAUAUAAAUUUUUCUUUCCUGUGAUUUUAUCUGAAUGAAUGCAUAGAUAAUUUGAAGAAUAUGAGCUGUGUACAUGCAGCAAGCAACUUAUGUAUUCUCAUUUGUUUUUAUUUAUCUUUUGCAGGAUUUUUUAAUGGGUGUGUGACUCCCUUUAAAUAUACAGCAAAUGUAUCUUCUUUAGAUAAUUUCUUAAUUUCUAAAUAGUAUUAAGUGGUGCUCAUUUUAUUUUAUUUAUCAAAUUAAGUGGUUGUUAUAAUUCAUUUGGUUCAAAACAAGGGUAUUAUGAUUUUUCUAACUUGAGAGUCUACUAAUUGUGUAAAUUCAAAAUAAUUAAAGAAAAACGAGGAGGAACUGAAACUAAAAGCUCUUAUUUACUACAAUAUUGGUUAAUUAGUUAUGAAUUCUGUUUAGGUUUUUUUUAAAUGCUUUCUCUCACUUUCUAGUCUCUAGGUAUUCUACAUAAUUAAUAAUUUUUAUCAAUCCUGUGAUUCUGGUUUAUAAUAAUUUAGGAACCAAGCAAGACUACAGAAAAAUUUAAUGUACCUAGCAGCAAUAGCUGAUUCUCAAUUCCAUGAAUUUCAGGAAUCAACAAUUGGGAUAGCAUUCUGUUACCAUUUUCAUGCUCUGAGGUGGUGAGUUGCAGGUGCCUCCUAUUUACAUAAACAUGGGAAUUUCGUUAGUUUCUUCUACACUAUUCCACUCCUCUUCUAACGGUGUUUUCACUAGCAUGGAGUUUAUCAGGACUGAGCUAUCAGCUUCAAAAUUGUAUUCUCUUGGUCUCAAGGUGUUACAUGCUUAUAGUUUUUAACUGAAAUAUUUAUGACUUAAUUUUGGUAUGGCUUAAUUUUCUGAUAUGUGUUGACCAACAAGCAUGUCUGGGAGAUUAACAACUCCUCAAAACUGGACUUAGAAUGCUAUGACUCUAAAACAUUUAAUGCUGGAAAUUGAGUGGUACAACAAUCACCCUGCUUUGUUUCUAAUAUAUGCUUCCAAAGUGUAUCUGAAGUUUUGCUUUGAAAUUUACUUACUUUAGUCAUAAUGUUGUUUCUUGCAGGAAGAUAAAACUAUAUCCCAAAGGAAAUGGCCCUGGAUUUGGCAGUCAUCUUUCUUUAUAUUUAGCCUUAUCUAACCCAUCAACACUCUCUUCCGUUUCAAAAAUAUAUGCACUGAUAACAUUACGCAUACUUGACCAAAAGCAAGCCAAGCAUCACUUUGAAAAAGAUGAACUUGGUUGACUGGUUUAAGGAAAUGGUAAUGAGUCGUCGCAGCGAUGAACUAGUCAAGCAGAUAAAUACAUUUUUCUAAGAUUAGUAUAAGAACUAAGUUUUUUAUGUACAUGGUAUCACUUUUUCUUUUCUUUUUUAUAUGGAAUGUUUAUAGAGUUUAAGUGCUAUAAGUAUUUUUUUUCUUUUUCCAUUUUAUUUGCAUCACGAAGCAAAUUUGUACAAUGAUUAUUGAUUAAUGAAA